UGUCUUUCAGGAGAAGCCUCCAGAAUCCAUUCAAGCAUUUGUUUGGAACCAGCUUUUCAAGAAUGACUAUGUGCAGAAGAAGCCAGUUCAUCGGGUCAACGACCUUUUGAUGUCUCAAGCUCAGAAUCCCCCAAGCAGGACAUGACAACUCUUUCUCACCAAAGAAACAUGCACCCUAGGAAGAGGCACGAUGGCUGGAUGGCUGUCUACACCUGUGCAAAAGAACCCCAGAGCUCCUCUUUCUCAUUAUUCAACUUACAAUCAGUCCCUUUCCUCUCCCCUCCUAAAAAUUCCUCCGCUAAUAACAGAUGAUCUGAGUAUAUCCCCUGACAUCCUUGAUGGUCACUGGUGCAGUAAAGCUUUUUCUUCUUGCAAAAAAACCCUGAUGCUAUGAUAUUGACUUCUAUGUUUAUUGGGCAGGAAGCCCUUACUGUCUAUCAGUAGCACCACCUCAGAGACCUUCCUUUGUUCCCUUCCUAAAACAUCCCCUUUUAUGAUUUUCUAUGUUGGAAAUCCUUUUUUUUUUUUUUUGGUGCUAGUUUGAUUCUUUUUGUCUUAGUCCUGGACUAUAAGGGUCCUGUAGGUAGGUCCUCUCUUGUUCAUGUCAUCUCUAGCUCCUAGCACAGAGCCAGGAUCAGAAAGAUGUGUGCUGCCUUUUUUGCAUCAAUCCACCAAAGCUGAAUAAAUUCUGAUGUGAAAGAGCUCACAGUUUAGUGCUGAGUGAUAGUAAACCUGAAAACAGUAAUUACUGUCACAGUUAUUUCAAAAGUUACUAUUUACUUAACAUUAAAAAGGAAAACCCCAGCAUGGUCAAUUUUAAAGAUUUUUUUAAAUUGUGUUUUUUUUAAAUUAUAGAAAGUUUCACAUGUUCUCUCAUUUAUAUGCCCAUAUACCAAUCCCUCCCUUAUUUGUGGAUGAUUUUGAAGCCAAUCCCAGGCAUCACAUGGGUGGGACAAGCCAUCUGCCUAGAGUGUACAUAAAAAGGAGCCCCUGUCCAUAGGUGCUAAUCCUUCCUUGUCAUGACCGGAGGACCCCAGAGCGAGGCCUUUGUCAGUAUGUCCAACUUUUCUCACUUAAGCAUUAUAUCAUUUCAUUUCCUGCAUUAUAUCAUUUCACCAGUAAGUAUAUGAGUACAUGUGUGUCUGUGUAAGACAGUAACUCUUUGAUUAAUAAAACCCAC
rnacentral:lncRNA from 1 species